UACGGGGGGGGCAAGCGUUGUUCGGAAUUACUGGGCGUAAAGGGCUCGUAGGUGGCCAACUAAGUCAGACGUGAAAUCCCUCAGCUUAACUGGGGAACUGCGUCUGAUACUGGAUGGCUUGAGUUUGGGAGAGGGAUGCGGAAUUCCAGGUGUAGCGGUGAAAUGCGUAGAUAUCUGGAGGAACACCGGUGGCGAAGGCGGCAUCCUGGACCAACACUGACACUGAGGAGCGAAAGCCAGGGGAGCAAACGGGG
rnacentral:rRNA from 1 species